CGAAAAUGUUACGUUACGUUACGAAGGAACAUAGAGGUUCCGUGAUAAAGAAUGGGCUUAAGAUUGUCACGUAAGGUGGCGUGAGGAGCUACGACAAUGUUCGUGCGCUGGCCCUUAUUAGAGAGACAGGGAGAGACGAGAAGAAACGGGGAGAGACAGGGAGAGACGGGAAGAGACAGGGA